UGACUUAAACGACUGACACUCAAUUCUCGAGAAAAAAAAUGAAAUUCGCAAUUAUAUUCUUUUUUAUUUUUCUGGCUGUGGCUCUUCUAAAUGAAGCUAAAGUCGUUCUCAAUUGCAAAGAGCCCCCCUGUGCCAGCGGGUGUCGAAGUAAUGAUACGUGUCACUAUCCUUAACCCCUGCUGUGAUGGAGCGAGGACAAAUGCAAAUUCUUUUACAAAUUAAGCUGUUGGAUUUACAAAUAUAAAAUAAAAUGUACUUGAUAUAUUUUGACUUCUAAAAA